rnacentral:lncRNA from 1 species
AAAAGAGAAGGAGUCUCAUCUCAAUCAAUCCAAAUAUCAUGGACCAAAAAAUGAAAUCUUUUGCAAAUUCACCAAAUUGGACUCAAACACACAUGUUUAACUAAUUCCAGGAGUCAUUAUUUAGCUGCUUGCUGCAAGGACUAUUUGCUCACGCAAGUACUCAAAACACAAAAAAAAUCCACUACGCAGCAAAGUGUUCACAUAUGAUAGUCCUACAUACAAUUAGAUGAUUGCCGCAAAUUAUGCACAAUCACACAAUAACAAAUUAGAAAGCAUCUCUUUCGUGCAAAUCUUCCAAAAUUGCAGGCAAGUUACAGAAAGAUUUUCAUCAUGGCAUCAAAAGCUGAGAGAAUUGUUAUUCCAUAAAACACAAGUUUUCAUGUAAAGGGAGGGGUCAGAUGACUUAGUUCUAUGACCAAGACAUCUCACGGAACAAGUGUAAUAAAGGCAUUUGACGGAUAUUAAACUGUAACUUUCCUAGUACUGAUUCAAAGGGGGAGAUUUCUUAAAAUUAUUUGCAUGGAUUCUGAACAGAAUUAUGCUAAUUUUAUUCUAACACUCUUUCUCCAAACCAUCUAUGCUCUUUUGGACGGAAAAAAAAAGGUAUGACAUCUGUGAAACAAGAUGGAAGAUAAGUUUUCCAAGUUGUAUACGUUAAACACCAUUUUGGGAUUGGAAACACACAAUGGCAAAUAGUAGCAUUACUUGUAAAAGUUAAUAGCAGAAAAUCUCUAAAGCAACAUCCAUGCAUCUCUCUGAAUCUCCAAGAGGAAGAAACUACUUGAAAAGUAGUGAGAAACAAACGAACUGUUGAUUAGUGUAAAACUUAUUUCCUUUUUAAUGUAUUAAAGAGUAUAACUUCAGUAAGAAAUAACAAAAUCCAAAACGUUUCAAUCAUAAACAAAUAUUUUUGGGAAUGUGGAAACCAUAUGUAAGCCACAGAGAUGUCUGAAAAACAACUAUCAUUAUUUCCACCAGCAACAUGACACUUAUCAACUAUCAUUUUCAUGUACUCCUGAGUCACUCAAGAGCCUUUCUUUGGUACCUAUGCAUAAAUGUCUUCAAUUGCUUUGGGCGGAUAAGUGAGGAUGCAAAGAAAAAUGAAUAAUUUUUCUCUUUCCCGUUGGUUUAUUAUAUAAAUUUGACGCCAUAUGUUAACUAUCAAUCAAAACAAGAAUCCUCGGUUAAUGUUUAGUUGAUUAGUAACACCAUAUGAAGAAAACAUAUGACAUCAUUAGUUGGUUGGAACACAAAAUCUACAGAAUAAACUGCGGAAUUACUUUCAAACAAUAAAGAAAUUUCAGAAACAUCCGCAAUUAAGCUAACAACCUUAGCUAUCAGUCCUCUUAAACAAGAAUUAAAAUAUACCAUCCUAAAAUUUAAUUAAAACUUAGCACCAAACAAGAUCUAGACUGAGAAGGCCAAAAAAAGAGGAGCCAGUUAAACUUAUACACACAAUUUAGAAGAAUCAAUUACCUCAACAGUCCAAAUGAAAAAAUCGAGAGGCUCCGGUGUUUGUUCUUUACUCAUCUCCUCUUCGACCAAAAUUCCCACACAAAUCACCUAACAUUUACAAAGCCAAACACAAACCUCAGCCACAUAAGUUGAAAUCAAACCCUGACGAAGACAACCAUUUCAAUUAACAAAAGCAAGAGAACGUGGGGAAAAAGGAAGAAAUCAGUUUGAUUCCCGGGAAACAAAAGGGGGAAAAGAAAACGAGAAUUUUGAGAAGGAAGGUCUGUGUGAGGGUGACAGUUGUGAGAUCCCAAUUCAUGAUUGGCUUUUGUUUACUCAUUUUUAAUUAUAUUUUUAAAAUAAUUUUUUUUUUCUCGGGAAGCAAACGAAAGAUAUAAGAUAGAGAAAGAGAUGAGUGAACAUACCCCUUAUGACAAAAAGUGUAGAAGUUAGGGUUUGAUUUUCGACAUUUGACAGAUGAGGGGUUAGGGAGAAGGAAAGCGAGAAACGCAGGCGGGGAGAAAUGAAAUAAAAAAGGAGAAACGAAAGCGAGUGGGGAGGAGAGUAGGGAGUUCGUAAGUUGUAAGACACACUUUUUUGUGUGUCUU